rnacentral:rRNA from 1 species
ACGAACCGAGCGAACGUUGUUCGGAAUCACUGGGCUUAAAGGGCGCGUAGGUGGGUGUUCAAGUCUGUGGUGAAAUCCUCCGGCUCGACCGGAGAAUUGCCUCGGAUACUGAAUGUCUCGAGGGUGAUAGGGGUAUGCGGAACUAUCGGUGGAGCGGUGAAAUGCGUUGAUAUCGAUAGGAACUCCGGUGGCGAAGGCGGCAUACUGGAUCACUUCUGACGCUGAGGCGCGAAAGCCAGGGGAGCAAACGGGA